rnacentral:rRNA from 1 species
CGUGUAGGCGGCUUGACAAGUCAGAUGUGAAAUCCCUGGGCUUAACCCAGGAAGUGCAUUUGAAACUGUCAGGCUAGAGUAAGGGAGAGGAAAGUGGAAUUCCUGGUGUAGAGGUGAAAUUCGUAGAUAUCAGGAGGAACACCGGUGGCGAAGGCGACUUUCUGGCCCUAUACUGACGCUGAGACGCGAAAGCGUGGGUAGCAAACAGGAUUAGAUACCCUGGUAGUCCACGCUGUAAACGAUGUUCACUAGGUGUUGGGGGUAUUGACCCUUUCAGUGCCGCAGCUAACGCAUUAAGUGAACCGCCUGGGGAGUACGGUCGCAAGAUUAAA